AUCAACGCUGGCGGCAUGCCUUACACAUGCAAGUCGAACGGCAGCACGGGAGCAAUCCUGGUGGCGAGUGGCGAACGGGUGANUAAUACAUCNGAACGUGCCCAAUCGUGGGGGAUAACGCAGCGAAAGCUGUGCUAAUACCGCAUGANAUCUACGGAUGAAAGCAGGGGACCGCAAGGCCUUGCGCGAAUGGAGCGGCCGAUGGCAGAUUANGUAGUUGGUGAGGUAAAGGCUCACCAAGCCUGCNAUCUGUAGCUGGNCUGAGAGGACNACCANCCACACUGGGACUGAGACACGGCCCANACUCCUACNGGAGGCAGCAGUGGGGAAUUUUGGACAAUGGGCGCAAGCCUGAUCCNNCCAUGCCNCGUGCNGGAUGAANGCCUUCNGGUUGUAAACUGCUUUUGUACGGAACGAAAAGGCUUUCUCUAAUAAAGGGGGCUCAUGACNGUACCGUAAGAAUAANCACCGGCUAACUACNUGCCANCANCCGCGGUAAUACNUANGGUGCNAGCGUUAAUCGGAAUUACUGGGCGUAAAGCGUGCGCANGCGGUGAUGUAAGACANUUGUGAAAUCCCCGGGCUCAACCUGGGAACUGCAUCUGUGACUGCNUCNCUGGAGUGCGGNANAGGGGGAUGGAAUUCCGCGUGUANCANUGAAAUGCGUANAUAUGCGGAGGAACACCGAUGGCGAAAGCNAUCCCCCUGGGCCUGCACUGACNCUCAUGCNCGAAAGCGUGGGGAGCAAACACGAUUAGAUACCCUGGNAGUCCACGCCCUAAACGAUNUCNACUGGUUGUUGGGUCUUCACUGACUCAGUAACGNAGCUAACGCGUGANUUGACCGCCUGGGGAGUACGGCCGCAGGU
rnacentral:rRNA from 1 species